UAGUCCACGCCGUAAACGAUGAGUACUAGGUGUUGGAGGUAUUGACCCCUUCAGUGCCGCAGCUAACGCAUUAAGUACUCCGCCUGGGAACUACGGCCGCAAGGCUGAAACUCAAAGGAAUUGACGGGGGCCCGCACAAGCGGUGGAGCAUGUUGUUUAAUUCGAGGCAACGCGAAGAACCUUACCCAGGCUUGACAUUCCCGGACCGCUCAUGAAAGUGGGUUUUCCCGCAAGGGACCGGUGAACAGGUGCUGCAUGGCUGUCGUCAGCUCGUGUCGUGAGAUGUUGGGUUAAGUCCCGCAACGAGCGCAACCCUUAUCUCUAGUUGCCAUCAGGUAAUGCUGGGAACUCUAGAGAGACUGCCCGGGGACAACCGGGGAGGAAGGUGGGGAUGACGUCAAGUCCUCAUGGCCCUUAUGUCUGGGGCUACAAACGUGCUACAAUGGCCGGUACAGUGGGCUGCGAAACAGUGAUGUUUAGCCAAUCCCAAAAGCCGGUCUCAGUUCGGAUAGCAGG
rnacentral:rRNA from 1 species